rnacentral:rRNA from 1 species
GAUGAACGCUGGCGGCGUGCCUAACACAUGCAAGUCGAACGAUGAAACCGCCCUCGGGCGGACAUGAAGUGGCGAACGGGUGAGUAACACGUGACCAACCUGCCCCUUGCUCCGGGACAACCUUGGGAAACCGAGGCUAAUACCGGAUACUCCUCGCCCCCCUCCUGGGGGGCCCGGGAAAGCCCAGACGGCAAGGGAUGGGGUCGCGGCCCAUUAGGUAGUAGGCGGGGUAACGGCCCACCUAGCCCGCGAUGGGUAGCCGGGUUGAGAGACCGACCGGCCACAUUGGGACUGAGAUACGGCCCAGACUCCUACGGGAGGCAGCAGUGGGGAAUUUUGCGCAAUGGGGGAAACCCUGACGCAGCAACGCCGCGUGCGGGACGACGGCCUUCGGGUUGUAAACCGCUUUCAGCAGGGAAGAAAUUCGACG